CUAAUGGAGAGAAGUCUGUGUAAAAUGGGAGUCUUGGCAGUCACACAGUGAGGAUGGGACCUGCGCUGUUUAACCUGACCUGAAGGAGAGCAGUGGCUUUCAGUGAGAAGAUCUGGCCAGGUGAUGUACAGCAAUACUGGAAGCAGGAAUUAUGAGAACAGCUGCAUUUGACUGGAGACAUUGGACAAGGCUGAAUUUGGACACCAGGUUUG
ensembl:lncRNA